rnacentral:rRNA from 1 species
UACGGAGGAUCCAAGCGUUAUCCGGAUUUAUUGGGUUUAAAGGGUGCGUAGGCGGAUUGAUAAGUUAGAGGUGAAAUGUCCGAGCUCAACUCGGGAACUGCCUCUAAUACUGUUGAUCUAGAGAGUAGAUGCGGUAGGCGGAAUGUAUGGUGUAGCGGUGAAAUGCUUAGAGACCAUACAGAACACCGAUUGCGAAGGCGGCGCACCGGCGCCCUACUGACGCUCAGGCACGAAAGCGUGGGUAUCGAACAGG